UGAGGAAUAUUGGUCAAUGGACGCAAGUCUGAACCAGCCAUGCCGCGUGCAGGAAGACGGCUCUAUGAGUUGUAAACUGCUUUUGUACGAGGGUAAACUUAGAUACGCGUAUCUAACUGAAAGUAUCGUACGAAUAAGGAUCGGCUAACUCCGUGCCAGCAGCCGCGGUAAUACGGAGGAUCCAAGCGUUAUCCGGAUUUAUCGGGUUUAAAGGGUGCGUAGGCGGUUUUAUAAGUUAGAGGUGAAAACUGAGGGCUCAACCCUCAGCCUGCCACUGAUACUGUUAGACUUGAGUAUGGAAGAGGAGAAUGGAAUUCCUAGUGUAGCGGUGAAAUGCGUAGAUAUUAGGAGGAACACCAGUGGCGAAGGCGAUUCUCUGGGCCAAGACUGACGCUGAGGCGCGAAAGCGUGGGGAGCAAACAGGAUUAGAUACC
rnacentral:rRNA from 1 species